UCCUACGGGGGGCAGCAGUAGGGAAUUUUCGUCAAUGGGCGCAAGCCUGAACGAGCAAUGCCGCGUGAACGAGGAAGGUCUUCGGAUCGUAAAGUUCUGUUGAAGGGGAAAAAGAGCGGAGAGAGGAAAUGGUCUCCGAUUGAUAUUACCCUUCGAGGAAGUCACGGCUAACUACGUGCCAGCAGCCGCGGUAAUACGUAGGUGGCGAGCGUUAUCCGGAAUGAUUGGGCGUAAAGGGUGCGUAGGCGGCUUGCUAAGUCUGGAGUGAAAGGUACCGGCUCAACCGGUACAGGCUCUGGAAACUG
rnacentral:rRNA from 1 species